GGAAGUAAAAGUUGUAACAAGGUUUCCGUAGGUGAACCUGCGGAAGGAUCAUUAUUGUAUAACCGAGGUGCGAGGGCUGUCGCUGACCCGAAAGGUCGUGCACGCCCGAGUGCCCUCACACACAUCCAUCUCACCCCUAUGUGCACCACCGCGUGGGUCCCCCUUUGGCUUGUUCGGAGGGGGGCUUACGUUUUCACACAAACUUUGUAUGCAGUGUAGAAUGUAUUUUUUGUUUUUGCGAUCACGCAAUCUAUACAACUUUCAACAACGGAUCUCUUGGCUCUC
rnacentral:misc_RNA from 1 species